rnacentral:rRNA from 1 species
UACGUAGGGGGCGAGCGUUGCCCGAAUUUACUGGGCGUAAAGCGCACGUAGGCGGCUUCGUAAGUCUGGUGUGAAAUCUCACGGCUCAACCGGGAGGCUGCACCAGAUACUGCGAAGCUCGAGGGCGGGAGAGGAGAUUGGAAUUCCCGGUGUGGCGGUGAAAUGCAUUGAUAUAGGGAGGAACACCAGUGGCGAAGGCGGAUCUCUGGCCCGUUGCUGACGCUGAGGUGCGAAAGCUGGGGGAGCGAAAGGG